AAUUUAACCAUGUGAUUUUUGAUGUUGCCUCAGGCGAAGGUCUUAGUUAUAACGUUCUCUGCAAUGCAUUAAAUUUAAUUGAAAAAUUCGUCAAACGGUUUCGUUUUGUUUAUCGCUUUUCUUAUUUAAACAAGCUAAUAUUUAUGAAACUAACUUCAUUGAUUAGGUGUAGAGCUCUUAUGGUUAUUUUAUAACAAGAGAGGAUUUAAAUACACUUUAUGGAUUUAGUCAUUUAUUGGGUUAGACCUCUUCGCCUGGAGAGUAGAGAAGACCAGGUUCAAUCCAGAAGUUAGGUGACUAUACAUUUUGCAUAGUCUAUUAGCUAAGAGUACAAAUGGCUAGUUUUGGAGAAAUCUUUAGAGAAUACUACUGGGUUGGAAUUUUAUUUGUAGUUUUGGUCGUUCUUGGAGUUAUAGUUGUGUGGAUAAUUUUCAGAUGCAGGUAAG